GAACUUCUACACUGCACCUCAGAAGGGAGCAGGCGGGAGAGGAAGCCGGGUUGGGAAGUCAGAGUAGAAUCUGAACACAGAAGACAGGGGGAGCUAUUCAGGAAAAUGUGCUUUGUUAUUUCCUUCUGGCACCUUGCUCAUUACCAUUCUAAUUUUUAAAAUGCAAACUGAAACCCAUACUAACUUUAACAUCCUAAAUGACAAACUAAAAGCAACACAGCUCCCCCUUCCACUCCAGUAACACCCCUCAUCCCUAAAAAACAACAAUGCUAACAAAACCCAUGAACACCUAUAACAAGUACAGCUUUAAAAUCCAAAUCCUUGCUUUUCUUGGCUUUUAGGUUGAAAGGUAGUGGAAAGUGGCUGAGUAAGACCCCGUCAGAUUCAGUGCAAGGUGAAGACUGGUCUUGAAACUUUGUAUCUUCCCUUCUUGAUUAGAAUGAAGGUAGAUGCCUUGACUCAGAAUUGGUGGCUGUUUUAAAAGCUGGCCUUGCUUUGGACCAUUGUUGGGACUGUCUUCUUCAGCAAACAGUGAUCAUGAAACCAAAUUCAGCUUUCUUCAGGAAAAGGACAAAAACUGGGGUAUACCACUGGAUCUACUAUGGAAAAGUGUUUGAGUGAUGCCCACCUAAUAUAGAAGAACUUGUCAUAGCUCUGAUGCAGCGACAAUUGACCACUUGCUUUUACAUAAACACUAGGAAGAAAGGCAUGGCAUCAAGUGUUUUGAGAGCUGAAUUACAUCAAUAUUUCCUUUUCAGAAAAUCUAAAAUUAUUUCAAUGCACAAAAGGUACAUACUGAAUGUAAUUAUAACUCUUCAAAAAAAUCAAUCUCUUUCUCUUUUUAAACUUACAUAAAAAUAAAUUAUCUGACUAUUUUACCUUUGGAUUAUUCUCUCUAAUCAACACUCUGAUUUAGAAUAAUGCAAGAAAGUAACGCCUUAGUGUCUUAGUACCAUUUAUUAAUUCCAGGUAUACCACUGGAAUUAGUACAACAAACAAAUACGAAUUCUACUUUCCAAUCUUUAAAAUAAGAAUCAUGCAAAGAAGUGUGUGGCUUACAACUGCAUGUUACUUAUAGCAGCUCUGAGUAUGGUGCUUUUUUUGUUUUGUUUUGU
rnacentral:lncRNA from 1 species